rnacentral:rRNA from 1 species
CAAUAGCGUAUAUUAAAGUUGUUGCAGUUAAAAAGCUCGUAGUUGGAUUUCUGGUUGAAGCGACCGGUCGGGCGUUGAUUCGUCUGCACUGGAGUCGGUUUUGGCCAUCCUCUAGGAAAGUGCGUCUGGUAUUAAGUUAUCGGGCGUAUGAUCCUGGUCUUUUACUGUGAGAAAAUUAGAGUGUUUAAAGCAGGCCUUCGCCUUGAAUACAUUAGCAUGGAAUAAUAAGAUAGGACUUUGGUCUAUUUUGUUGGUUUGCAGACCGAAGUAAUGAUUAAUAGGGAUAGUUGGGGGUAUUUAUAUUCCGAUGUCAGAGGUGAAAUUCUUAGAUUUUCGGAAGAUAAACUUAUGCGAAAGCAUUUACCAAGGAUGUUUUCAUUAA